CAGCUGAAAUAUGGAUAAGAAAACGGAAAUCAAAUUACAAGAGGGGGAAAGUCUGAGGAAGAGGACACACAGAGCUGCCAGAGGCAGGCAGGCGAGGAAACCUGCAGCCCUUGCUGGCUCGCUCAAACUCUGGUGACUCCAACAGCCUCCAAGAUAUGCUGAGCUGAGGCUGCGGGUCUAACUUGCAACUGUAGGCACCUACUAGGUUUAAUUCCUCAUUGUCAAAGUCCCCAGAGCUGGGACAUAAAAUGCCAUGGAGGCCACAGUUAGGAGCUCCUGGAGCCCCUGGGCUUAGCUGCCAAGGGUGUCCUGAAAGGUUGCUUCUGAAGCCUUGAGGAUUGUUCCUCUUUAGCACAAGAUGUUUCAGACUGUCCCUGACACAUCGUCUUAUGUCAAGUCUACCAGCCUGCGGAUUCUGCCCAAGCGGUUUUCUGGGGGAGACGUCCUCCCUACCCACCUUUGCUCCCAGACAAGGCGAAGCUGCUGGAUCCUGAACCUGCACAGAGACUCUGCCCAUAAGUAUCUGGCGUGCAGGUCCUGAAGCUGCGCUUCAAGCACAGUGGUCGAUAUAUUUGGAGUGACUAUUGUAUGGGACUACUGGGAGGUCGGGUUUGCUGAGAUUCCAGAAGCUGAACCCACCGGCAACCUCCAUAGUCCCCAUCGAGGCGCCGCCACUGGAUGAGGGUCGUGGCUGGUCUCCACCUCCUGUCAGCCUGCGCUCUCUGGUCAGCCUCUGACUCCCUCGGGGGUUUCCUCAAUGACGCCGAGUGGUCUGGGGGUUCGGCUUCCAACUGCCUGGGACUCGGGUCUCCAAGACCCUUCUGGCCUGAACCCUCCCACCCCCCUUGCGGCUCUGUAGGCGCUGUGGCCUCCCACGUAGCGUUUUGAACUGGGUCGGUGCUAAAGCAAGAAUGAACGUGGGGAGUGGGCUGGGUGAGCAGAGGCUCUAAAUCUUCCUUCAGUCUGUGAGUGGAUGAAGUCUAAGAAACAAAUUCAAAGCAGGCGCGCCUGCAGAGCCUUCCUGCAGAAAUAGUCCCCAGCAUUCAAGCGCAUCCAGGGGCGGCUCAAGCUGCCUUGUUUGGCUAAGGUCAGACGAGACUCGAGUUCUCCAAUAAAAAUAAAUCUCAAAUUAAUUAUGGCCUCGAGCGAGAGGCCAGACACUUGAA